UUCAGAGACUCCCAGAGGAGAAAGAGUGU
rnacentral:piRNA from 1 species